rnacentral:rRNA from 1 species
GAUCCUGGCUCAGGAUGAACGCUGGCGGCGUGCCUAACACAUGCAAGUCGAACGAAGCACCUUUUAAGAUUCUUCGGAUGAUUGAUCGGUGACUGAGUGGCGGACGGGUGAGUAACGCGUGGGUAACCUGCCCUGUACAGGGGGAUAACAGUUGGAAACGGCUGCUAAUACCGCAUAAGCGCACGGGAGGACAUCCUCUUGUGUGAAAAACUCCGGUGGUACAGGAUGGGCCCGCGUCUGAUUAG